rnacentral:sRNA from 1 species
AGUAGAUUGGGAAACUCUUCAAAUCAUAUUGAAAUGCCGAGACAAGCUUAUCCUCCCAAUGGCGGGCCCCACAUCGCAAGAUGAGGCAUUUUUAUGACCCGGGGGAUUACAAAGGGUGGAGAGCACUCAAAUCCUGUCUAUUCGGAGUUUCAUCGCAUCCUUUGGUGUGG